rnacentral:tRNA from 1 species
AGUUACGUAGCUCAGUAAGGUUAGAGCGCAUCACUCAUAAUGAUGAGGUCCCCUGUUCAAUUCAGGGCGUGACUA